GGCAGCUGCUCCUACCCCUCCACCCCGCCCAACCUUCAGCUUCUGAGGCUGCGCAGGGGGAGAAAAGGGUUAGGGGGUCGAGCCCUGACUUCGCCUCCUCUUCCAAGAAGCCUUCCCAGACACUCAGCUGUAAAACCAGACGGACGUCCUCCGAUGAAAUUGUUUCUACUUAGGGCCGGCUUCACCGGCUUGGAAUCCACUUAGAAGGGUCUUCGCGCUUGGUUGAAUGUUCUGCAAUUUCUGUCUUGAAAUUUUUAGUUUUUGAGCAAGGGGCCCCUUAUUUUCACUUUGCACUAGGCCAAAUAUGUAGCCGGUCUUGCUGCUAAGAGUCUAAGAUCGAUUGCAUUCCAAAUUCUGGAAUUAUAAGACCCUGGGUGGAAGAUUCUAUGCUUUGACCAGAAGAGAGUCUAAGCAGCUUUUGUCUCCCAGGUGCUAGGAGGAUGUGUGCUCAUCAUUCUUCCAUUCCAGGGGCCUUUGUUCUACGUUCUAAGGGGCUUUGUUCUCAGCCUUCUAUGAUGCUCUAUUCUCAACGUUCUCUGGUCCUAGGAGUCUGAGCCUGACAUUCGUUUCCAAGGCUUCCUGCUGUCUCUCCAGGCUCCGCAAGCAGGGCUGGGGCACCCUCAGGCGGCCAAUCUGUAUCACUACGCCGAGCCUGCCUCUACCAACUUCCAAGACCUAGCUCUAAUAUUCAUACUCAUCUCUCAGACAGACCUUGGCUCCCUAAAAGCCAAGGCCCAGAAGAUCAUACAAGAAAUUCCCUCUUUUAUGAUUCCCCGUGCACGAAGUGACCUUCUGGUGGUGAGAUGGAGAGAAAUUGAUAGUGGCGAUAGACAGCAAAGUCUCCAGGAGCCAGACUUCCUCGGGGUGAGUCACAGAUCUGUCACUUUCCAGCUGUGUGACCUUGGAAAACUUACUUAACCUCUCUGUGCCACCGUUUCUUCAUCUGAUCACGGGAUCAUAAUACUGGCUGCCUCAUACAGUUGUUCUGAGGAUUCAAUGAAAUGUAUUAGGUACUUGGAGCAGUGUCUUCCAUGGAUUAAGAGCCACAGAAGGGUUUGACAAAUAAGUUUAAAAACUAAUCUAGUAAGUUUCCGGGGGGAAAUGUCUUGAAAUUUAUUAGAGACAACCUUUAUUCAGUCUUCCUCUUGUUCAAAAUAGACUUAGAAAAUUAGUCGGGUGUGGUGGUGCACACCUGUAGCCCCAGCUACUUGGGAGGCUGAGGCGGGAGGAUCACUUGAUUUCCUUUUUGACUUCUUGAUGCUUUUAUUAAUGAUGAUGCCAAAAGAUUUCUGGAGAAUCAGCCAGGCGCAGUGGCUCACGUCUGUAAUCCCAGUACUUUGGGAGGCUGAGGCGGGCAGAUCACCUGAGUUCAGGAGUUCAGAUCAGCCUGGCCAACAUGGCGAAACCCCAUCUGUACUAAAAAUACAAAAAUUAGCUGGGCAUGAUGGCACACACCGAGACUGUGGCACUGCACUCCAGCCUGGGUAACAGAGGGAGACUCCGUCUCAAAAAAAGAAAGAAAGAAAGAAAUUGAGAGAGAGAGAGAGAGAAAGAAAGAAAGAAAAAGAAAGAGAGAGAGAAAGAAAGAUAGAUGUCUGGAGAAUCAACAAGCAACAGUUGCUUCCAAACAUGGCACACAAACUGGAUAUGGUGGCAUGUACCUGUAGUGCGAGCUACUCAGGAGGCUGAGGCAGGAGGAUCACUUGAGCCUGGGAGGCUGAGGCUACAGUGAGCCAUGAUUGCACCAUUGCACUCCAGCCUGGGUGACAGAGCAAGACCCAAUCUUUAAAAAAAAAAAAAAAAAUUGUGAUUACAGAGACUGAGUCCCAUGCAGGGGCUGUUAAUGAAGUUGCAGAAGCUCAUAGACCUUGAUUUAUAGAUGGUAGGGAUGGGAAGAGGUUCCCAUAAAAAUCGAGUGGUGCGUUGGGAGAGGCCUUUGAGGAAGGCGUGUAGGGCACAGUGCUCCAUCCAAAGGCUUUGGUGGUGCGAGUGAAGGGGAUGGGGCCCUGGGAGUAGUGAUUUGUGCUGAGAAAGGGGAACAAAACUGACAAUCCUAAUUGCAGUUGUAAGACUGAGUAAACACUUUUGCAAAAGUAAGCCAGGGGCAUUGUGGAUCUUGCAGGCUGGAAGGUAGAAUAGGGAGGGGAGAUGUGUCAUUUGGGAAGAGACAGAAGUUACAGCUGGAGAAUUGUGAUCUGAGAAGCAUGUAAUCAAAGAUCAGUCAAAGAGAAUGCAAAUGAGGCCGGGUGGGGUGGCUCAUGCCUGUAAUCCCAGCACUUUGGGACGCAGAGGCAGGCAGAUCAUUUGAGGUCAGGAGUUCAAGACCAGCCUGGCCAACAUGGCGAAACCCCGUCUCUACUAAAAAUAUAAAAAUUAGCUGGGUGUGGUGGUGCACGCCUGUAAUCCCAGCUACUUGGGAGGCUGAGGCAGGAGAAUCGUUUGAACCUGGGAGGUGGAGGUUGCACUGAGCCGAGAUCACGCCACUGCACUCCAACCUGGGCAACAGAGGGAGGCUCUGUCUCUAAAUAAAUAAAUAAAUAAAGAGAGAGAGAAUGCAAAUGAAAGGCAAAAGUCAUAUGAUGAGAAGCAGGCACGGGAGGACCAGAGUGGGUAUUAAAAUGGGGAAUCCUAGCCAGGCUCUGUGACAUGCACCUGUAGUACCAGCUACCCAGAAGACAGAAGCAGGAGGAUUGUGUGAGCUCAGGAGUUCAAGGCCAACCUGGGCAACAUGGUGAGACCCUGUCUCUAAAAUAGCGUGUGUGGGAGGGAAUCCUGGAGUUUCUGAUUCCAGGAGCAGGCUGUCUCAUGAUGUUGUCUGCUUAACCCAAGGUUCUUGGGAGAGCUGUCUACAAUUGCAGCCUCGUCUGCUUCCAGGGCUCUUGAAAGAGCCUCCCUCUGAGGUCUCCAACGGGAGUGGAUUCCCAUUCAGCACAGGUCUUAUAUCUCUUCAUCUCUGAGAUAUGAACCCAAGGCAGGACAGUCUGGUGUUUGCAAUAGUGUAGGGUCCAUCCCAUCUGAGUUCAAGGUUAGUCUUCCUGCGAUGUCUUUUCCGGAGGACUAAAUUCCCUGUUUGGAAAUUAUGAAGAGGCCGUGAUGGAGUAUUUGGAGGGAAGGCAGCUCACACUUGUUAGUGACAAGCAUAAGUGUACUUAGUCCUUGAUAAUAUCUGAGAAUGUCGAUUGUAAUAGAUUAGAGUCCUCAAGGGCCCAAUAGGAGUAGAAUCCUUGUGAGUCUUUGAGUGAUUAUUUCAUAAGAAGAUUAUUGAUAUGUGCUCUGGUAGGAAGAGUAAUGGCCCCCCCCUAAGAUGUCUACAUCUUUAUCCCUGGAACCUGUGAAUAUAGCACCUUUUAUGGAAAAAGGAACUUUUUGUGAUUAAGAAUCUUGAGAUAGGGAGAUUUAUCUUGGAUUAUCCUGGUGGACCCAGUAUCAUCACAAGUUUCCUUAUAAGAUGGAGGCAAGAACGUUAGAGUCAGAGAAAUAUGUAAAUAUAGAAGCAGAGGCCGGGCCAGGCACAGUGGCUCACACCUGUAAUCCCAAAGCUUUGGGAGGCCGAGUGGGGGAGGAUCGCUUGAGGCCAGGACUUUGAGACCAGCCUGGGCAACACGUUUCUACAAAAAAAAAAAAAAAAAAUCAAAAAAUUAGCCAGGCAUGAUGGCGCACAUCUGUGGUCCCAGUUAUCUAGGAGGAGGAUCGCUUGAGGCCACCAGUCUGAUGCUGCAGUGAGCUGUGAUUGUGCCAGUGCAUUCCAGCCUGGGGCGACAGGGAAAGACCCUGUCUCAAAAAAUAAAAUAAAAUAAAUCUGUGUUGUUUUAAGCCACCACAUUCAUGGUGAUUUAUUCUAGCAGUGUAUUCAUUUGCUAAGGUGGCCAUAACGAAACACUACAGACAUAGUUUAAACGACAGAAAUUUAUUUUCUCACCAUUCUAGAGGCCAAGAAGUCCAAGAUCAAGGCGUCGGCAGGGCUGGUUUCCUCCGAGGCCUCUCUCCUUGGCUUGCAGAUGGUCACCUUCUCACUGUGUCCACACAUGGUUUCCAGUAUGUGUGCACACAUCCCUGUGCCUCUCUCCUUGUCUUUUUUUUUUUUUUUUUUCAAGACAGAAUCUUGCUCUGUCACCCAGAUUGGAGUGCAGUGGCACGAUCUCGGCUCACUGCAACCUCCGCCUCUCAGGUUACAGUGAUUCUCCUGCCUCAGCCUCCCGAGUAGCUGGGAUUACAGGCAUGAGCCAACUCACCCAGCUAAUUUUUGUAUUUUUAGUAGAGACGGGAUCUCACCAUGUUGGUCACGCUGGUCUCAAACUUCUGACCUCAAGUGAUCUGCCUGCCUUGGCCUCCCAAAGUGCUGGAAUUAUAGGUGUGAGCCACCGCACCCGGCCCAAAAAACUUUUUAAUUAGCUGGGCGUGGUGGUGCAUGCCUGAAGUCCUGGCUACUGGGGAGGCUGGGGAGGAAGAAUCACUUGAGCCCAGGAGGUUGAGGCUGCAGUGAGCCAUGAUUGCACCACUGUGCUCCAGCCUGGG
rnacentral:lncRNA from 1 species